AUUGAACGCUGGCGGCAUGCCUUACACAUGCAAGUCGAGCGGCAGCGCGGGGGCAACUCUGGCGGCGAGCGGCGAACGGGUGAGUAAUGCAUCGGAACGUGUCCUGUAGUGGGGGAUAACCAGUCGAAAGACUGGCUAAUACCGCAUACGAUCUACGGAUGAAAGCGGGGGACCGCAAGGCCUCGCGCUAUUGGAGCGGCCGAUGUCGGAUUAGCUUGUUGGCGGGGUAACGGCCCACCAAGGCGACGAUCCGUAGCUGGUCUGAGAGGACGACCAGCCACACUGGAACUGAGACACGGUCCAGACUCCUACGGGAGGCAGCAGUGGGGAAUUUUGGACAAUGGGGGCAACCCUGAUCCAGCCAUGCCGCGUGAGUGAAGAAGGCCUUCGGGUUGUAAAGCUCUUUCGGCGGGGACGAAACGGUUCGUGCCAACACCACGGAUCAAUGACGGUACUCGCAGAAGAAGCACCGGCUAACUACGUGCCAGCCGCCGCGGUAAGAC
rnacentral:rRNA from 1 species